rnacentral:lncRNA from 1 species
CUCUUGCACAAAGCAAGACAAACCCUUUGUGAACUAAGGAGUGCUUUUGAGAGAGUAAGGAUAGUAGGAAAGUGAUUUUCUGCAGCAAACCACUCUCUACUUGACCUCUUUAUAUAGGAAGAUUGUUUGGGAAACAAAAGAUCUCAUUAAACACUUGUAUGAACAGAUUCAAAGUAUUGUGUACACAUUCAUGCACUUUAAUUCAUGCAUCUCAUGAUCAUUAGAUCAAAACAUGAAUCUAUCCUUUCAUUCAAUAAUUCCCAUAUACAUGAAUACAUUCAUAAAUGAAUGUACAUUUUAGGAACAUUCACAAUACUAUACAUAUACCAAAAAUCAAUAAAUAUACAUUAAUUUCAUGUAUGUACAUCAUACAAAUUUUGAAAAGUUUCCAACAAUCCCCCGCCAUUUUCAAAAUUUAGAAAAUGGAUUUCUAAAAUGAAUGUAUUCAUGUAUAUGGGAAUUAUUGAAUGAAAGGAUAGAUUCAUGUUUUGAUCUAAUGAUCAUGAGAUGCAUGAAUUAAAGUGCAUGAAUGUGUACACAAUACUUUGAAUCUAUUCAUACACAAUACUUUGAAUCUGUUCAUACAAGUGUUUAAUGAAAUCCUUUGUUUCCCAAACAAUCAUCCUAUAUAAAGAGGUCAAGUAGAGAGUGGUUUGCUGCAGAAAAUCACUUUCCUACUAUCAUUACUCUCUCAAAAGCACUCCUUAGUUCACAAAGGGUUUGUCUUGCUUUGUGCAAGAGUUUAAGACAAACAAAACUUCAUCUUAUCCUAAAGGAUAUUUGUCCAAGGUUAUUGCACUUUAUAUCGGACAAAUAAAGCUUAAAAGAAAGUGAUUUCUAUCACGAUUUGAAGCCAAUUCUUGUCACAAUAUUUGCCAAUUCUUUGUUUUUUACCCAACAAUCUUUAGGCUUUAUUUAUACUCUACAAUGGCCGGUACCUUGAAAGAUUUGGCAUCCAAUAUUGUCAAGCUCGAGAGGUUUGAUGGAGGGAAUUUCAUUCGUUGGCAAAAACGUGUUCGUUUCCUUCUCACUGCACUCAAAGUGGUCUAUGUUUUGACCACACCAAAACCAUUGAUCAAUCCCGAUGAAGAAACUCUUGAAGACAUCCGAAACCGUCAGAAAUGGGAGAACGACGAUGAAAUAUGCCGUGGUCACAUCCUCAAUACCAUGAGUGACAACCUGUUCGAUGUCUACCAUUCAAUUGCUACCGCCAAGGAACUUUGGGAUCGAUUGGAGUCCAAGUACAUGCAAGAAGAUGCUACAAGUAAGAAGUUUCUUGUCUCGUCUUUUAAUAAUUAUAAAAUGGUAGAUAAUAAGUCUGUUAUGGAGCAAUUUAGUGAGAUUGAAAGGCUUCUUAAUCACUUCACACAACACAAUCUACACAUGGAUGAAGCCAUUAUUGUUUGCUCUAUAAUAGAUAAGUUACCACCUUCUUGGAAAGAUUUCAAAAGAGACCUCAAACAUAAGAAAGAGGAUAUCUCUCUUGAGAUUCUUGCUAAAUCUCUUCGAGUAGAAGAGGAAAUUCGCAUGCAAGAAAAGAAGGAUAGUCAAAUCCUUGAAGAGAACAAAGAUUCUACUUCAAAAGUGCAUGUGAUUGAAGAGAGGCAAACUGAAAAGUCUCAAGGAAGCAAGAAGGGCCAACAACCCAAGAAUCAAUCCAAGAAAAGAAAGAAGGGACAAUGCUUCUAUUGCAAGAAAGAGGGACACUACAAGUCCGAGUGCAAGAUUCUUCAAAACAAGAAGAAGAAGCAAGAGUCUUCCCAAAACACAAGCAAAAAUCUUGUAGCAAUGAUAUCUGAAAUCAAUAUGAUUGAAGAUGAUUUUGCUUGGUGGGUUGAUUCUGGAGCUACGCGACACGUGUGCAACAAUAGAACGUUCUUCAAGUCCAUGAAACCGGUGGAUGAAAGCACCGUUGUUUACAUGGGAAAUUCUGCUACAAUUCCGGUUCAAGGCAUUGGAGAAGUAGAAUUAAAAUUUACUUCCGGAAAUGUUGUAACCUUGACAAAUGUGUUUUAUGUACCGGAAGUUAGGAAGAACUUGGUGUCGGCUGGGCUGUUAAAUAAAUUUGGCUUUAGACUUGUGUUUGAGUCUGACAAAUUUAUUUUGUCUAAAGGUGGUAUGUUUGUAGGCAAGGGUUAUCUUUGCAAUGGGAUGUUUAAGUUGAAUGUACUUGCUAUUAGAAAUAAUAAGAGUGAUAUUAUUUCUGCGUAUUUGGUUGAGUCUUCUUUUGAAUUGUGGCAUAAUAGGAUUGGUCAUGUUAAUUACAAAAGAAUGCAUGAAAUGAUGAGACUUGAUUUGCUGCCAUAUUGUGAUAAGAUUGAAGGAAAAUGCAAUACAUGCAUGCUAACGAAAAUCACAAGAAAUUCGUUUCCUAAAGUUGAAAGAUCAUCUAAAAUCUUGGAUCUUAUUCAUAGUGAUGUAUGUGAUUUGCAUGGUACUCCUACUUUGGGUGGUAAAAAGUACUUUGUGACUUUUAUUGAUGAUUAUAGUAGAUACUGUCAUGUUUUCUUGUUACACUCAAAAGGUGAAGCUUUGCAAAAAUUUAAGGCAUACAAAUCAGAAGUUGAACUUCAUUGUGAAUCCUUUAUCAAAUGUCUAAGGACAGAUAGAGGUGGGGAAUAUUAUGAUAUUACCUAUUUUGAGUCUGUUGGGAUAAAACAUGAGGUGACUGCUCCUUACACACCACAACAAAAUGGUGUAGCCGAAAGGAAAAAUCGUGUAUUGACAGAAAUGGUUAAUGCACUUUUGUCAAAAUCUGGUUUAAGUCAAGGAUUUUGGGGUGAAGCCUUGUUAACGGCUUGUCAUAUCCUAAAUAGAGUUCCUAAUAAAAGGAGUUCUAUAACCCCUUAUGAAUUUUGGAAUAAAAGGAAGCCCAACCUAAACUAUUUGAAAGUUUGGGGUUGUAGAGCUGUUGUAAAACUCCCAGAACCUCAAAAAAGGAAAUUGGGAGAAAGAGGUGUGGAGUGUAUAUUCUUAGGAUAUGCACAAAAUAGCAAAGCAUAUAGGUUCAUGGUAAUUGAACCUAAUGAUUCAAUUUCGGUUAAUACCAUAAUUGAGUCUAGAGAUGCUAUUUUUGAAGAGAAUAGGUUCACCUCUAUAAAAGAUGUUAUUCCAAAAUCAAGUGAAUUGACAAAAGAUGGUGAAAAUGAAACCAUUGAAUUGAGAAGGAGCAAAAGAGCUAGAAAGUCAAAAGACUUCGGUUCGGACUUUUAUAUGUAUCUAGUUGAAGGAACUAGAGAUACAGUGAGCAACCAAAUCUCAUAUUGCUUCAAUAUUGAGGCUGAUCCCAAGACCUAUGAAGAAGCAAUGAACUCACAAGAUGCUCCCUUUUGGAAGGAAGCUAUUAAUGAUGAGAUGGACUCAAUCAUGGGUAAUAAAACCUGGAAAUUAGUAGACUUACCACCUGGUUCAAAACCAAUUGGUUGUAAGUGGAUCUUCAAGAAGAAAAUGAAGAUCGACGGAACUAUUGAUAAGUUCAAGGCCAGGUUGGUUGCCAAAGGGUUCACACAAAAGUAUGGUGUGGACUAUUUUGACACAUAUUCACCAGUAGCUAGAAUUGCUACAAUUAGAGUGCUACUUGCUAUAGCUUCUAUCCAAAAUCUAGUCAUUCACCAAAUGGAUGUUAAAACAGCAUUCUUGAAUGGUGAUUUGGAUGAAGAAGUAUAUAUGGAGCAACCCGAAGGGUUUGUGAUACCUGGUCAAGAGCAUAAGGUGUGUAAACUUGUAAAGUCUUUAUAUGGACUAAAACAAGCACCGAAGCAAUGGCAUCAGAAAUUUGACCAAGUUAUUCUUGCUAGUGGGUUCAAAAUAAAUGAAUCUGAUAAAUGUAUUUAUAGCAAGUUUGAUGAUGGCAAAGGUGUCAUAAUUUGUUUAUAUGUUGAUGACAUGUUGAUUUUUGGGACUGACUUGGAACAAGUUGAAGUCACAAAAACUUUGCUUUCAAGCAAAUUUGACAUGAAAGACAUGGGUGAGGCAGAUGUCAUUCUUGGUAUGAGAAUCUUCAAACAUGAUAACAAUAUAAUGUUGUCUCAAACACAUUAUAUUGAAAAGAUUCUUAACAAAUUCAAUCAAAGUGAUUGUAUUCCAGCCUCAACACCAUUGGAUCCCAAAAUAAAUUUUGUGAAAAAUGAGGGGGAUCCAAAAUCUCAAAUGGAAUAUGCCAAGGUUAUAGGGUGUUUAAUGUAUGCAAUGACUUGUACUAGACCUGAUAUUGCAUAUGCAGUUGGUAUAUUGAGCAGAUAUACAAGCAAUCCUAGUAGGUUACAUUGGCAAGGUGUAACCAGAAUUUUAAAGUAUUUAAAGGCCACUAAGGACUAUGGUAUAUGUUAUACCGGUUAUCCUUCAGUUUUAGAAGGAUUUUCAGAUGCUAGUUGGAUCACCAAUAAAGAUGAUCACUCGUCGACAAGUGGUUGGAUCUUUAUGCUUGGUGGAGGUGCAAUUUCUUGGGGUUCUAAGAAACAGACUUGUAUCACCGAUUCAACAAUGGCAGCAGAGUUUGUAGCACUUGCUUCGGCCUGUAAAGAAGCUGAAUGGCUACGUAAUUUACUUUGUGAUAUACCAUUGUGGCCAACACCUUUGUCGCCUAUCUCAAUCCAUUGUGAUAGUGCAGCUACACUUGCUAAAGCAUAUAGUCAAGUGUAUAAUGGUAAAUCAAGACAUAUCGGUUUGAGACAUAGUUAUGUCAAAGAUUUGAUUACAAAUGGAGUCAUAUCAAUUGACUUUGUGAGAUCAAAUGAAAAUUUAAGUGAUCCUUUGACAAAAGGAUUAUCAAGAAAUUUGGUGUCAAAGACAUCAAGGGGGAUGGGUUUAAAGUCCAAAAUUCUUGAUCACUAAUGGUGGAACCUCAAUUCAACGCUAGAUACAACGUCUGGUCCUGAAUUCAAUGAGUGAAAGUACAUCAUUCUAGUGGUUGGUGCACUAUGUGAAGUUUAGUCAUCCCAAUGUUGAAUAGUGCAUGUUAUUCUCGCCAGUGCAAAUGUAAGGAUGAGUCAUUGGACUCUUAACGAAUCUUAAAAGUGCUAUCUAUGGCGGGGGCACUAAGAUGUCGCCUAUAUGAAUGUUGGUUUUCGGCAAACCACAAAGUUAAGGACUUUACUUUGUAAACAUUCAUGAAAGGAUAGUGAUACAAGGCCGUAAAAUGUAUCGUUGAAGAACUUAUGGUUGUGCAUUGCUCAGUGUGUGAUGUGUUUAUGAGGUUGGUCCAAUGUCCAAGUGGUUCAAAGCUUGUCUACCAUCUUGAAGGAUUGAUUUCAAAGAACCUUCACUAAGAUAGUGGUUCAAUCGAAAGACACCAUUAUUUAUGCAUAUGAGUGUCAGAUUACUUGGUGACCUUUUAGAAAUCCAUUUUCUAAAUUUUGAAAAUGGCGGGGGAUUGUUGGAAACUUUUCAAAAUUUGUAUGAUGUACAUACAUGAAAUUAAUGUAUAUUCAUUGAUUUUUGGUAUAUGUAUAGUAUUGUGAAUGUUCCUAAAAUGUACAUUCAUUUAUGAAUGUAUUCAUGUAUAUGGGAAUUAUUGAAUGAAAGGAUAGAUUCAUGUUUUGAUCUAAUGAUCAUGAGAUGCAUGAAUUAAAGUGCAUGAAUGUGUACACAAUACUUUGAAUCUGUUCAUACAAGUGUUUAAUGAGAUCUUUUGUUUCCCAAACAAUCAUCCUAUAUAAAGAGGUCAAGUAGAGAGUGGUUUGCUGCAGAAAAUCACUUUCCUACUAUCAUUACUCUCUCAAAAGCACUCCUUAGUUCACAAAGGGUUUGUCUUGCUUUGUGCAAGAGUUUAAGACAAACAAAACUUCAUCUUAUCCUAAAGGAUAUUUGUCCAAGGUUAUUGCACUUUAUAUCGGACAAAUAAAGCUUAAAAGAAAGUGAUUUCUAUCACGAUUUGAAGCCAAUUCUUGUCACAAUAUUUGCCAAUGUGUACACAAUACUUUGAAUCUGUUCAUACAAGUGUUUAAUGAGAUCUUUUGUUUCCCAAACAAUCUUCCUAUAUAAAGAGGUCAAGUAGAGAGUGGUUUGCUGCAGAAAAUCACUUUCCUACUAUCCAUUACUCUCUCAAAAGCACUCCUUAGUUCACAAAGGGUUUGUCUUGCUUUGUGCAAGAGUUUAAGACAAACAAAACUUUAUCUUAUCCUGAAGGAUAUUUGUCCAAGGUAUUGCACUUUAUAUCGGACAAAUAAAGCCUAAAGGAAAGUAUAUGGGAAUUAUUGAAUGAAAGGAUAGAUUCAUGUUUUGAUCUAAUGAUCAUGAGAUGCAUGAAUUAAAGUGCAUGAAUGUGUACACAAUAAUUUGAAUAUGUUCAUACAAGUGUUUAAUGAGAUCUUUUGUUUCCCAAACAAUCUUCCUAUAUAAAGAGGUCAAGUAGAGAGUGGUUUGCUGUAGAAAAUCACUUUCCUACUAUCCUUACUCUCUCAAAAGCACUCCUUAGUUCACAAAGGGUUUGUCUUGCUUUGUGCAAGAGUAUAAGACAAACAAAACUUCAUCUUAUCCUGAAGGAUAUUUGUCCAAGGUAUUGCACUUUAUAUCGGACAAAUAAAGCCUAAAGGAAAGUAUAUGGGAAUUAUUGAAUGAAAGGAAGCAAAGAAUUGGCAAAUAUUGUGACAAGAAUUGGCUUCAAAUCGUGAUAGAAAUCACUUUCCUUUAGGCUUUAUUUGUCCGAUAUAAAGUGCAAUAACCUUGGACAAAUAUCCUUUAGGAUAAGAUGAAGUUUUGUUUGUCUUAAACUCUUGCACAAAGCAAGACAAACCCUUUGUGAACUAAGGAGUGCUUUUGAGAGAGUAAUGAUAGUAGGAAAGUGAUUUUCUGCAGCAAACCACUCUCUACUUGACCUCUUUAUAUAGGAAGAUUGUUUGGGAAACAAAGGAUCUCAUUAAACACUUGUAUGAACAGAUUCAAAGUAUUGUGUAUGAAUAGAUUCAAAGUAUUGUGUACACAUUCAUGCACUUUAAUUCAUGCAUCUCAUGAUCAUUAGAUCAAAACAU